rnacentral:rRNA from 1 species
GACGAACGCUGGCGGCGUGCUUAACACAUGCAAGUCGAACGAGAAUCUGUGGAAAGAGGAUUCGUCCAAUUGAAGCAGAGGACAGUGGCGGACGGGUGAGUAACGCGUGAGGAACCUGCCUUUCAGAGGGGGACAACAGUUGGAAACGACUGCUAAUACCGCAUAACAUAUAGAUGUCGCAUGGCAUUUAUAUCAAAGAUUUAUCGCUGAAAGAUGGCCUCGCGUCUGAUUAGCUAGUUGGUGAGGUAACGGCCCACCAAGGCGACGAUCAGUAGCCGGACUGAGAGGUUGAACGGCCACAUUGGGACUGAGAUACGGCCCAGACUCCUACGGGAGGCAGCAGUGGGGAAUAUUGGGCAAUGGGCGCAAGCCUGACCCAGCAACGCCGCGUGAAGGAAGAAGGCUUUCGGGUUGUAAACUUCUUUGUCAGGGACGAGUAGAAGACGGUACCUGACGAAUAAGCCACGGCUAACUACGUGCCAGCAGCCG